GACAGAGGUGCCGAGCGUUAGGCGGAAUCACUGGGCGUAAAGCGCACGUAGGCGGCUUGUUAAGUCGGGGGUGAAAUCCUGGAGCUCAACUCCAGAACUGCCCUCGAUACUGAUGAGCUCGAGUCCGGGAGAGGUGAGUGGAACUGCGAGUGUAGAGGUGAAAUUCGUAGAUAUUCGCAAGAACACCGGUGGCGAAGGCGGGCUCUGGGCC
rnacentral:rRNA from 1 species